rnacentral:rRNA from 1 species
CCCUUAGAUGCCCUGGGCUGCACGCGCGCUACACUGGAAGUUACGGAUUGAGAUACUACCUUGUCCGAAAUGGUCCGGGUAAUCACCUAAAAGCUUGUCAUAAUUGGAAUGGAUUAUUGUAACUAGUAAUCCUGAACGAGGAAUUCCUAGUAAGUCCCAGUCAACAGCUGGUACUGAUUACGUCCCUGCCCUUUGUACACACCGCCCGUCGCUACUACUGAUUGGACGUUUAAGCAAGAUUUUUAAACACUGACAGUGUGUAGUUCACGCUAUACUACAGUGAGAAGAAGAAGAUCGAGCUUACUUGUCUAGAGGAAGUAAAAGUCGUAACA